GACGUAGGAUGCAAGCGUUGUCCGGAAUUAUUGGGCGUAAAGAGUUCGUAGGCGGUUGCCUAAGUCUGAUGUUAAAGGCCUGAGCUCAACUCGGGUAUGGCAUUGGAAACUGGGCGGCUAGAGUGUGGUAGAGGUAUCGGGAAUUCCUGGUGUAGCGGUGAAAUGCGUAGAUAUCGGGAGGAACACCGGUGGCGAAGGCGGCGACCUGGGUAGAUACUGACGCUGAGGUGCGAAAGCGUGGGGAGCAAACAGG
rnacentral:rRNA from 1 species